CCUCUUUCUCUCCAUUUUCAUCAUCAUCUUCAUUUCUCUUCUUUCUCUCCUAUUUUUCCUCUUCAAUUAUUAUUUUCUAUAAAUACUAUUUUCACUCUCUACUUGUUCUUUUCUUUGCUCUGACUUAUGGACUAGAUAUAGUCAUUCAGCUACAUUACCGACAAAUCAUAUCCAACCUUGAUUUGACCCAGAUCAAGCCUAAUUUUCUUUAAUUGGUCUAAUUUUUCUUAAUUGAUAAAUUAGAUGUAACCUAUGAACCUUAAUCUAAUCAGGUGGAAAUCUAGAUCUAG
rnacentral:lncRNA from 1 species